GACGAACGCUGGCGGCGCGCCUAACACAUGCAAGUCGAACGAGAGAUGAGGAGCUUGCUCUUCAAAUCGAGUGGCGAACGGGUGAGUAACGCGUGAGGAACCUGCCUCAAAGAGGGGGACAACAGUUGGAAACGACUGCUAAUACCGCAUAAGCCCACGGCUCGGCAUCGAGCAGAGGGAAAAGGAGCAAUCCGCUUUGAGAUGGCCUCGCGUCCGAUUAGUUAGUUGGUGAGGUAACGGCUCACCAAGACCGCGAUCGGUAGCCGGACUGAGAGGUUGAACGGCCACAUUGGGACUGAGACACGGCCCAGACUCCUACGGGAGGCAGCAGUGGGGGAUAUUGCGCAAUGGGGGAAACCCUGACGCAGCAACGCCGCGUGGAGGAUGAAGGUCUUCGGAUUGUAAACCUCUGUGGACAGGGACGAUAAAUGACGGUACCUGUUUAGAAAGCCACGGCUAACUACGUG
rnacentral:rRNA from 1 species